CCUGUGAAAACGCCCUUAAAUCCCCAUUAGGGAUAAGGAGCCGGUAUCAGGCACGAAAAUCUGCCCAAAACACCUAGCUAUGCCACACCCACAAGGGACUCAGCAGUGAUUAACAUUGAACAUAAGCGUCAGCUUGACUCAGUUAAAGUAAAGAGAGCCGGCAAAUCUGGUGCCAGCCGCCGCGGUUACCCCACGUGGCUCAAAUUGAUUUCUAUCGGCGUAAAGCGUGAUUAAAGUCCCCAUUAUAUUGAAGUUAAACUGAAACUAAGCUGUGACACGCUUGUUAUACAGAAAAACAUAAACGAAAGUUACUUCAACUUUUCAACUUGAAUACACGACAGCUAGGGCACAAACUGGGAUUAGAUACCCCACUAUGCCUAGCCGUAAACUUUUAAUUACACCCCCAACGCCCGAGAACUACGAGCAAAGCUUAAAACUCAAAGGACUUGACGGUACCCCAUAUCCCCCUAGAGGAGCCUGUCCUAUAAUCGAUAACCCCCGUUUAACCUCACCACUUUUAGUUUUUCAGCCUGUAUACCUCCGUCGUCAGCUUACCACGUGAGCGAAAUUUAGUGAGCUUAAUGUCCACACGCCCAUACGUCAGGUCAAGGUGCAGCAAAUGAAGUGGGAAGAGAUGGGCUACACUUUCUAUAUUAGAAAACACGAAAGACCACACAUGAAACUUGGUCAGAAGGCGGAUUUAGUAGUAAAAAGAAAUCAAAAUGUUCUUUUUAAUUCGGCACUGGGGUGUGUACACACCGCCCGUCACCCUCUUCAUAAGCCUAACUAUAGUAUUUAACCAACUUAUGCCCUAAUAGAAGAGGCAAGUCGUAACAUGGUAAGCAUACCGGAAGGUGUGCUUGGAAACAAAAUAUAGCUUAACUAAAGCACCUCGCUUACACCGAGUAAACAUCUGUGAGACCCAGAUUAUUUUGAGCCAAAAAUCUAGCCCCUCUCCCCUCAUGUAAACUCAACAUUUCAGAUUAUAAAUUAAAACAUUUUAAUGAUGGAGUAAAGGCGAUUGAAAAAUUAACAGGAGCUAUAUAUAAUGUACCGCAAGGGAAAGAUGAAAUAAAAAUGAAAUAUUUAUUAAGCACUAAAAAGUAAAGAUUAACUCUUGUACCUUUUGCAUCAUGAUUUAACUAGUUUACCCUAGCAAAACGAUUUUUAGUUUGACUUCCCGAAACUAAGUGCUACUUCAAGGCAGCUUAAUGAGCAAAUCCGUCUCUGUUGCAAAAGAGUGGAAAGACCUUCAAGUAGGGGUGAUAAACCUAACGAGCUUAGUGAUAGCUGGUUACUCAAGAAAAGGAUCUAAGUCCAACCUAAAGCUUAAUUUAAUACCACAAAAUUAAAAACUCAACUUUAGAGCAAUUCAAUUAAGGUACAGCCUACUUGAAACAGGAUACAACCUCAACUAACNNNUUAUUUUAACCAUCAACACACUUAAGUUGGCCUAAGAGCAGCCACCUUUUAAAUAGCGUCAAAGCUUAGCCAUGCAACUGUUUAAUCUCAACAACACCUUUUAACCCUUUACUACUAUUGAGUACUUCUAUAUACCUAUAGAACUUUUUAUGUUAAAACUAGUAACAAGAACCAGACCUUCUCUUAUAUGUCAGUGUACAUCAGUAAGGACACACCACUGAUAAUUAACACCAAUGAACUAAAAGUAGCAACUCAACAAGAAAACUCUUCUUAAUAAUAUGUUAACCUAACACAAGUGCAUUCCAAGAAAGAUUUAAAGAAAAAGAAGGAACUCGGCAAACAUUAACCUCGCCUGUUUACCAAAAACAUCGCCUCUUGUAAAAAUUUAAGAGGUCCAGCCUGCCCAGUGACUCUGUUCAACGGCCGCGGUAUCCUAACCGUGCAAAGGUAGCGUAAUCAAUUGUUCUUUAAAUAAGGACUAGUAUGAAUGGCACCACGAAGGUUACACUGUCUCCUUUUUCUAAUCAGUGAAACUAAUCUUCCCGUGAAGAAGCGGGAAUAAUUAUAUAAGACGAGAAGACCCUAUGGAGCUUUAAACAAAAUAACAACUGCUAACUAAAUCUUAAUUUCAGAAAACCAAUCUUUAUCCUAGCAUUGUGAUUACUAGUUUUAGGUUGGGGUGACCGCGGAGCAAAAAACAACCUCCAUAUUGAAAGAAUUAUAAUUCUAAGCAAAAAGCUACAACUUUAAGCAUCAACAAAUUGACAUCUAUUGACCCAAUAUUUUGAUCAACGAACCAAGUUACCCUAGGGAUAACAGCGCUAUCCACUUUAAGAGCCCCUAUCGACAAGUGGGCUUACGACCUCGAUGUUGGAUCAGGGUACCCC
rnacentral:ncRNA from 1 species